rnacentral:rRNA from 1 species
UACAGAGGUGCCGAGCGUUAGGCGGAAUCACUGGGCUUAAAGCGUGUGUAGGCGGAUGCCUAAGUACCUUGUGAAAUCCCACGGCUUAACCGUGGAACUGCUGGGUAUACUGGCGAUCUUGGGCCAACUAGGGGCAGCUGGAACAAGCGGUGGAGCGGUGAAAUGCGUAGAUAUCGCUUGGAACGCCGAAGGUGAAAACAGGCUGCUGGGGUUGUGCCGACGCUGAGACACGAAAGCCAGGGGAGCAAACGGG